CAGGACCUCCACCCAGCCUCACAACCGCAGACCACGUAUGCCAGCCCAGGACCUCCACCCAGCCUCACAACCGCAGACCACGUAUGCCAGCCCAGGACCCUCCACCCAGCCUCACAACCGCAGACCACGUAUGCUAGCCCAGGACUUCCACCCAGCCUCACAACCACGUAUGCCAGCCCAGGACUUCCACCCAGCCUCACAACCGCAGACCACGUAUGCCAGCCCAGGACCCUCCACCCAGCCUCACAACCACAGACCACGUAUGCCAGCCCAGGACCCUCCACAUCUGGCUUCUUCACCUGCGGGGCCGUCUGAGACCAGCCACCCAGACAGCUGACUAAAUUACGACGGACCAGAGGUGGCCUUCUCAGCUUCACUAGGACUCGAUGACACAUACACAGGACACUUCAACCCUGAAAUCACCCUGGUCUACGCUCAAGUCUUCACCCUCAACUACAGGACCUGAGCCCUAGGACCAUGCCCCAGGACCACCUGACAUGAUGACUCCUUGCUGUCCCCAGUCCACCUGGCCAUGCUGCUGUUCCAGUUUCAACUGACCUGAGCCCUAGGACCAUGCCCCAGGACUACCUGACAUGAUGACUCCUUGCUGUCCCCAGUCCACCUGGCCAUGCUGCUGUUCCAGUUUCAACUGUUCUGCCUUAUUAUUAUUCGACCAUGCUGGUCAUUUAUGAACAUUUGAACAUCUUGGCCAUGUUCUGUUAUAAUCUCCACCCGGCACAGCCAGAAGAGGACUGGCCACCCCACAUAGCCUGGUUCCUCUCUAGGUUUCUUCCUAGGUUUUGGCCUUUCUAGGGAGUUUUUCCUAGCCACCGUGCUUCUACACCUGCAUUGCUUGCUGUUUGGGGUUUUAGGCUGGGUUUCUGUACAGCACUUUGAGAUAUCAGCUGAUGUACGAAGGGCUAUAUAAAUACAUUUGAUUUGAUUUAGUGGAAUUUGCGAUUUUCCUUCAAAAUAAAAGCAUGUCAUUGACAGUGAUGCAAAUAAAUACAAAGAGUAGAAUUAUACCAUACUUUUAUUUUGAAGAUGAACCGAAAAGUCCACUAUUGUGGUUUAUCCUUAUUGUGGCUAGCUUCACAUAGAUGUGUGCGACAACCAUUAUUCAAAUAAGAACUGUCUUGUAAAUUACGAUUAUUUUAGAUGAUGACACCUAGCUAGAUAGUUAGUUAGCUUACUAUAGCUACUGAAACAGAUUAUGUUGUGUUAUUUGACAUGUCAAAGAGUGUCCUGAUGUGUAUCUUUUUCGACACGCAAAGACAAACGGCAUUGGAUAGAAAUCCUGGUUGAGAAUGAAACAAAUGAACAACGAAACAGCACAGCAAGUUAAGUGAAAGAAACAGGUGUUGAUGAUGUUUCACUGGUAAUGGGGACAUACGUAAAUGCCCACAAAAUAACUUUUUGAUCAGUAUGGUGUGUAAUCUUUAUUUAACUAGGAAAGCCAGUUAAGAACAAAUUCUUAUUUACAAUGACAAGCGCAGAAGACGACGGGCCAAAUGUGCGCCGCCCUAUGGGACUACCAAUCACGGCCGGAUGUGAUACAGCCUGGAUUCGAACCAGGGACUGUAGUGACACCUCUUGCACUGAGAUGCAGUGCCUUAGACCGCUGUGUCCGUGUGUGUGUGUAACUAUUUAACUGUACUAGAAUCGGUUAUCGGUAUCGUUAUUGGGCAAAAAUGUAAUAUUGGUGCAUCGCUAUUUCUUUUUUUGUAUAUAAUAGUAAUAUUAGUAGUAUAGUAUAAGUAGUGUUGUGCGUUUCAUUAAUUGGCUAGCUAGUUAGUGUCUUCAAAUUCUCCAGUCUGACAUUCUACUCUUUCCCUGCCGAUGAUGAGCUACGAAAGAAGUGGGUGAACAACAUCAGACGAGACAACUUCACCGUCAGCAAAAGCUCCAAGGUCUGUGGCAGGCAUUUUCUUCCUGAAGGCGUAUUGGAGCCUACU